rnacentral:rRNA from 1 species
CCUAACACAUGCAAGUCGAACGUGAAAGUCCUUCGGGAUGAGUAAAGUGGCGAACGGGUGCAUAACGCGUAGGUAUCUACCCUUGGGUGAAGGAUACCCUAGAGAAAUUUAGGCUAAUACUGCAUAAUCCGGGAAACCGGGAAAGGUGGCCUCUUUGCUACCCCACGAGGAUGAGCCUGCGUACUAUUAGUUAGUUGGUGAGGUAAAGGCUCACCAAGACGAAGAUGGUUAGCUGGCCUGAGAGGGUGUACAGCCACAAUGGGACUGAGAUACGACCCAUACUCCUACGGGAGGCAGCAGUGGGGAAUAUUGCACAAUGGACGAAAGCCUGAUGCAGCGACNCCGCGUGGAGGAUGAAGGUUUUCGGAUUGUAAACUCCUGUUAAGUGGGAAGAAAGACCCUGUGCUAAUACCACAGGGUGAUGACGGUACCACUAGACUGUGUCGAAGCUAACGCGUUAAGUGAUCCGCCUGGGGAGUACGGUCGCAAGAUUAAAACUCAAAGAAAUUGACGGGGGUCCGCACAAGCGGUGGAACAUGUGGUUUAAUUCGACACUACGCGAGGAACCUUACCUGGGCUUGACAUGUAAUUGUUACUGAUGGAAACAUCGGGUUCUAUGGGAAACCAUAGACUGUUACACAGGUGCUGCAUGGCUGUCGUCAGCUCGUGUCGUGAGAUGUUGGGUUAAGUCCUUUAACGAGCGCAACCCUUACCGUUAGUUGCUAUCCUGAAAGGGAGCACUCUAGCGGGACUGUCUGGGAAACCAGGAGGAAGGUGGGGAUGACGUCAAGUCCGCAUGGCCCUUAUGUCCAGGGCUACACACGUGUUACAAUGGUGAGUACAAACCGG